CUCACCCCCACCUGAUCAGGUCGUGUGGCCUUACCCUGUCCCUUUACCUAGCAGAAUCUCAGCUUCUUCAAUUCACAGCGAGGAAAACAGCACUCAACGCCUCCCAGCCCCUCAGCACUGGUCCCGCGGGGAGUCCCUCUGUCACUGGCACGGCCUUUCAUCGAUGGCUCUCACCUGAAACCUGGGCCUCCUCCCUGUCCCUCUCUUCCUGUGUCCGGGCCAUCUCCAGGUCCUUUUAGUUUUAUCAGUAAAUCCCUAAAUAUUUCCAAAUUCUGACCACUGUCCUCAUACCCACCACCCCAUCCUGGUCCAGGCAACCAGUUCCUCCCCAGCGUGGCUGCAAGGCCUCCCCGUGGUCUCAGGAUAUGACACUGCUCUCUCUCUCUUAAGGGCAGACUGAUCGUGUUAUGCGCUUAACCCCGCCACUGCUGAGAACCAUCCAUGGCUCCUCCUCGCUCUUCUGCUAAAGACCUGAUUUCUGACUGCAGCUGACUGGGCCCCGCAAGGCCUGCUGCUCACGCCUUCAGCCACAUCUUGCCCCUUGAGACUCACAGCUGGAGGGGAAUUUGCCUGGGAUGAAUCACACCUUUGAGUCUUACCUGUAUCUGACUGAGAUGAGCCUCUGGGCUUCAGCGUUUUGAGUUGGUGCUGGGACAAAUGAAGCCCACAGUUAGCAGUACAGCCAUCCUGGUCCCCCAGCAGAUGCCUGGCCUCCAUUCAGACUGGAAACUCCUCACAGUAAGAAGCCAGGCCAGUUUAACCUGCAGUCUCAGCCAACUCAUCACUCCACGACCCUACAACAAUCCUCACUGCCUGAUAUAAACACUUGCUUUGGGCUAGGACCAAAGCCCCAUAGAAUGUACGGCAGCGAGUGUGAACCCUAAAGUAAACUGCGGACUCUGGGUGACGGCCAUGUGUCAAAGGCUCAUCAGUUCCAGCAAAGUAGCAGUCUGGUGUGAGAUGUUGGUAACGGGGGCAGCUGUGCAUGUGUGGGGACAGGGGCCUGUGGGGACUCUGCAUCUUCCUCUCAGUUUUGCUGUGAGCCUGAAACUGCUCUAAAAUAAUUAAAUCUUAAAAAAAAUCUCCUUGUUGCUUUGUGAGAAGGAGACAGAGCAGGACACCUGGAAGGGGCUCAUUGCCACCGUGCAGGCGAGGGUGGCGGAGGCUGGGGGUGGAGGGGCUGGGGCUGCACAAACCCUGGAGGAGAGCACAAGGCGCUGCCGAUGGCUGGAUGCGAGGGCUGCAGGAAGACAGGCACCUUCUUCCUUCUGGGCCCUCUCACUUGCGAACGUGCCUCGAGGCCUCGAUGUGCUGUGUUGACCCGCUGGCCCCUCUGGGGCCAGGACUGAUACAUCUCUGCCUUCGGCCUGGAGACCCAAGAACUCUCCUCCAACAGGAAGCUCGAAAGUGGCAGCCAGUCUUUGUCAAGCUCUUUGACAUCCCAGGUCCUGCCCCUGGCACUAUGGGGGCUCAAAGAAUACCGGCGUCCUUGGCCUCAGGAGUUCAAGCCUCGUGCCCCGCCGUGCUCUGGCUGCUGCUGGCCACUCAGGACAUGUGCCCCGCUCAUGUCCCACCAGGGCCCCCGCACUCUAAGCCCUGCAGCAGGUCCCCGUGGCCCUAGCAGCGUUUCCCAAACUGGAGCACUCCACAGCCAGGCUCUCCAAAAGGAAAAGGAUGCUUCUGGCCAGACAGUGAUGAUUCAAAUUAUCUUUAUUAUACUGUUCCUAAAACAUAAAGCCAGGUACAAACUUCUUGGGAUUCUACACAACCAUAGAACCAAAUUAAAUACAAGCACGACUACAAAUCCAAUAGCAAGUAGAUGAACAGCAUUCAUUUUCAUUUAAUGUGGUGGAUGAGGUCAUUUUGCAGACUCCAAAUCAUCCACUUUGAAUUAUGCGCAUUUUCCAGGCUGUGCCAAUGUGCUGUUGUGUGCUCGGCUUUUGUUGUUCCCUGGGAGUUCCUGCACUGCUGUGUGUGCUGACUCAGUUGGCCACUUCUUUCCCAUUUGGGUGAGGGGAAACCUCUCAGAGGGUUUGGCCUCCCUCGCUCUGGGCAUAUACAUCCAUUCCUCUCUUUUAAGCCUGGGACUGUCAUAAGGACCUUCCUAGUCCCC